UACGGGGGGGGCAAGCGUUGUUCGGAAUUACUGGGCGUAAAGGGCUCGUAGGCGGCCAACUAAGUCAGACGUGAAAUCCCUCGGCUUAACCGGGGAACUGCGUCUGAUACUGGAUGGCUUGAGAUUGGGAGAGGGAUGCGGAAUUCCAGGUGUAGCGGUGAAAUGCGUAGAUAUCUGGAGGAACACCGGUGGCGAAGGCGGCAUCCUGGACCGGUAUUGACACUGAGGCGCGAAAGCCAGGGGAGCAAACGGG
rnacentral:rRNA from 1 species